ACCGUCCCGUGGGUCAGUGUCCCAGUUUCAUCGAAUCGGAACAUCCAAGUCUGCGUUCCCCCAUUAAAACCUCCAACAGAGGAAGGUUGGACGGUCAAAUACGGACCGUUAUUCAACGUGCUAGCGAAUACCACGGUAUCGGACGACCCUUGGGACACUCGGUCAAGUCCUAGACGACUACGGGCAUCGCUUAGGGUUGGUCCAAGGGAGAACUGGUUCCCUGUGUGGAGAACGACUUCUCCCCCAAUCUGUACGAUGGGGUUCGAAGUGUUUCGGAAAGCAAACUGAAGGAUGUUAUCUUCUAUUACAGCCAGACUGAUCCAAUCCGUGUUAGACUUGUUUCGGAGUGCCAACUGGGUUGUUUUAUCAGUCCCUGACAUGUUCGCCCCGUUGAUGUGGAGGCGGGCCACUAUACCUGCGUAAUCGGCUGUCAGAGGUGGGAGCGUGAUAUCCUGGGUUCCGUCAAAAAGGACACCGUUGAUGUUUCUCCCGGUUUGCAGUCGAGUCGCAGUUGAAGCGUUACCUGUCAGGCUACCAAUCACCGUCCCGAUGGCGGCAGUUCCUGUAGAAUCCCUGGCAACAACUGUGCUCGCCUGAUUAAUAGCCGUGGCCGUCAUGACAGCAGCGCUGCCAAGUUGAAGCUGCGACCUACCCGUUGCGGCAUCUGCUACGCCGAUCCAGUUUCGACCAAACGGGGUCGUUGCCAGGUUGGCCAUGGAGGUAGCCGUGUUGAAAUACGGGAUAGCUCCAACCACAGG
rnacentral:antisense_RNA from 1 species